CGCUUCUUCCCUUCUUCUUGUCUGUUCCCGACGCUUUGCCUCCCGAGGCGACCCGCAACCUAGGGUUCCUGCGUCGCUGCAGUUCCCACGGAUGCGCCUCCCACGGCGGCGUCUCCGGCCGUCCCCAUUGAAGGUGGCGGCGCAGCCAAUAUUGGCGCAGUGGCUGUCGAUGGCGGCUAACGCACCGGCCCUCGGCGGCAGCGGCGGCUCGGCAGCCCGCUACGGGCGCUGCUCGGCGCGGCGCCCCCCGGCGAGGGCAGCCCCAGCACUAGCGCCCCUGGUCGCGGAAGCCCCGGCACCACAAUCCCUACGGUGAGGCCUAGCAGCCCGGCCGUAGGCGCGCGCGACGCCUCCGGUGUGGAUCCUCGGCGCAGGCAGGCCAGCGCCGUAGCUCAGGCGCCGGCAUGUAGCAGUAAUCUGGAGCGACAGGAUCCAGAUGUGAUUUGUUAAUGUAUAUUGAUUGUUAGCCUGCUCUUAGGCAACCACAGAACAAGUUUUUCCAAGUGAUUCUCGGAUGGAAGAGACUGCCACGUCGCCCUGAAUUGCUCUGGCCAUUCGAUCUUCCGUUGGAUGGCUGAGUUUGUGUGCGGCGGAUUUUGCGAUGGAAAAAUAGCAUCACAACCACAACUCUAAUUCUUCUCAGCCUAUAAAAAUGAAAACUGCAAACAUGUUAAACCAGUAUAGACGCCUGCUUCCAUGCACUUUCCAUUAUUUCGUACUCAUGUAUCAUUCGUUGUGUUUUAGAUUCAAUGUAUGAUAAUAGUCACAUAUUAUUUAUCCAAGAUUCCAAGGACACCAUUUAAUCUUCUAAUGUUGCAUCACGCAAAAUGCACACUGCAAUAUGUGAUUUUGCCUUAACCACUAGAUAAAUGUUGCCAAUACAAUCAAAAUUUGCAAAGGCUAUCUCUUGCAUAGAUUAAUGAUUUAAAUUUUUCAAAAAUGGUCUUUCUCCUUGUUCAUGUAUGACUUGAGACCAAUGAACAACUCCAAUUCCUUAGUUCUCAGGCUAUAAAAAUGAAAACUGCAAACAUGUUAAACCAGUAUAGACAGCGCCUGCUUCCAUGCACUUUCCAUUAUUUUCUAUUCAUGUAUCAUUUGUUGUGUUUUAAAUUUCCUGUAUGUUAAUUAUUCAUAUGUUAUUUUUGCAGGACCCCAAGGACAUCAUUUCAUCUUCUAAUGUUGCGUCCGUGCACAAAACACACCAUAAUAUGUGCUUUUGCCUUAACCACUGAAUAAAUGCUGCCAAUACAAUCAAAAUUUACAAAGGAUCCUAAUUUCAAAAAACAACUGUUUGUGGAAAGUUUCUCUGAAAGGUGAGUGCUUGUGAGAAUGUAUUACAUGAAUAUUCUACCCGUUUCUACUUAAAAUCUCACAAGUGCUAAUACAAAAUUGACUGGUGACCUUCCAAUCAAUAUUUUGGCUCAUUUUCAAAGCCAUCCUUAAUAGUCAUUACGAAUGUUUCAUGUCUUACAUCUUGUCUUCCUUUCAAGAAUGAGAGGUUGCUCUACUCAUUCUUUUUUCUGGCGAUGCAAAUUCAUAUCUAUUUCUAUACACGGGGUGUGGUUUUCUAAUUCAUUGGGCAGUCUAAGUCCUUGUGCAUGUUCCACAGAGUAUCAUUUACAUAAUCAAAACCAAUGAUUAAUCAGUUCUUAGCUAUUCCAUUUUUACACCAAUUGUGUUCUUUUUUUAAAAAAAUAGAUAUUGUUUUACAUUUCCACUUCAUAUAAAGAAAACACUAAUGCUACUUUACAAAACUUGGAAUCUCAUAAGCCAUUGCAACAUCAAACGAAACCACCUAAAUACGUGUUCUCUCUCUCUCUAAUGUUUCAAGAAUAUGGUAAUAUCACAUUCUGAGAAUACUGUACUUCCCUUCGAUGUUGAGUUUCAGUGGAGGUUCUGCCUAAAGUCAAUUUUCUUUUAGCACUGGCUUUUCUAUAACUUUCCAAACCGGUGUACUUGCCCCCUUUUUUUUCACUUCUGCAGAUAAUAAUAUGCAGUAUUCCUGCCUGCUCGAGAAAAAAAAGAAUAAUCUGCUUACAAAAUAUGCAAAUAGCAUUUACAUUGUCACAUAUUGAUCUUCGUGUGUACAAGGAGCAUGUAGUAAGCAGAGAAGAUCAUAAUUGACCAAGACAGCAUCGGAUAGAAAAGAGUCUGGGAUAGCUAAGCUUGAAGCUGCGUACAAUCUUCUUUUGGGGAUUUGUUUGUUUAGAUCCAGGACAACUUGGACAGCCCGAUCUCAAUCUCACACCAAACAAAGCCCCCUUUCCAAAAAGGUUUAUGUGAUAGAACUCGAGAAAGUUGAUAAUGCACUGGGAACCACAGAAUUUAACAGCUUGGCUUCAUUGUGAAUGCUUAAUUUUUUUAUUGGUUGGCCAAUUAUAUAUAAAUUCAUUGCUAUCUGAAGUACGGGUCAGACUAGGGAUUAUACAACCUUCGGCCUGUUUCAGAUCAGCAUGCAGGACAACUUUGCACUGGAUGAUUUCGGUCACCGGAUGGUUUUCUUAGGGGAUUUGUUAGUGGAUCCUUUGAAAUUUGUAAUCAACCUGUAAUAUGUGUUUUCAGCACCCUUUUAUUUCUUAAUUAGUUGAAAGGCAGGGCUCCUGCCAUCUCUCUCAUCCCCCCACCAAUGUGCUAUUUUUCAUGGUUACCGGGAGGCUCCAACCUUCGAUGUACUGCCUCAAAAAGAGUAGGGAGAUAAGACAGUGUUGCAGUGCAAACAGUAUAUAGUUAAACACACUUUAUGCUUCAUUUGUGCUUCAUCAGUUGUAAUCUAGAAAUUAACUAUCAGUUAGCUGAAAUGUGCAUUAUCUUGCUUACAUAUGCAGACUGCAUCAGCUCCUGGACCAACAAAGGCAAAAUGUAGCCGCUGAUUAACCAAAAUACUAACAGAGCAGCAUCAAGCCAUCAACAGCUAGGCAGUUCUACCUAAUGUAAUGUAAUGUAACAUAUAGACUACCAAGUAUAUAAAGCAUCUGCCAGCGCAUAUAAUAUAUGUGCCUAUAUACCAUCUUGAAUGUGUAAUAUACACAUUCUGAAUAUAUAUCUGUGUACCUUAUUACUCAUACUACAAUCUACAUAUUCAAUAUAUUUUCUCUAUGUUCAAAA